GACGAACGCUGGCGGCGGGCUUAACACAUGCAAGUCGAACGAAGUGGCGAACGGGUGAGUAAUACGAGGGUAACCUGCACUCCUGUUUGGGAUAAGCCUUGGAAACGGGGUCUAACACAGAAUAAAGGGGGAUGGGCUCGGGGCCUAUCAGCUUGUUGGUGGGGUGAUGGCAUAACAAGGCGGUGACGGGUAGCCGGCCUGAGAGGGUUAACGGCCACAUGGGGACGGACAUACGGCCCAGGUGCCUACGGGAUGCAGAAGUUUGGGAUAUUGCCCAAUGGGCGAACGCACGAUGCCGCGACGCCGCGGGGGGGAUGCGGGCUUUCGGGUUGUAAACCUCGGUCGCUAUCGAACGGUUAGGUGGAGAAGAAGCGCCGGCUAACUACGUGCCAGCAGCCGCGGUAAUAC
rnacentral:rRNA from 1 species